rnacentral:tRNA from 1 species
GCCUGGGUGGCUGAGUUGGUUAAGCAUCCGACUGUGGCUCAGGUCAUGAUCUCAUGGUUUAUGAGUUCGAGCCCCACCUCGGGCU